GAAUCAGAUAUUUAGGGAAAGAAUAUAUAUUUUACAAAACAAACUAACGAAGAAUUGAACAGAUCAAUAGUGCUUAAAUAAGAAAUAUGCAUAAAUACCAGAAAUACAGCCUUUGAAAAAUGUCUGAAACUCGGAAACACGCCUUCGAUCACAAUAAAUUAAUUUCUUUGGUCGGUGGGAGAAGUAAAUCCUGAUCGGUGAUGGUUGGAAAGAGAGAGGGAAAAAAGGGAGGGAAAAGGGGAGAAAGUGGGGGAAAAUUUGAAGGUCCGAUGAUGAGUGGAAAAGGAUCGGGACGCCCCCUGGAUUGAUAAACAGGACGCCCCUUGCGGCUUCACAAGACACUAUUGGGACUUUCAGAAAUAGGGGUUCCAUCACGUGAUUCAUGAGCGC
rnacentral:lncRNA from 1 species